rnacentral:lncRNA from 1 species
CCGGAGAUUUCUGGAAUUCCAAAACAGCCUGCGUGAAGGUGGAAGAAAAAUUCGUAACUUGAUCAAACAACCUCCAAAAAUUACGAAAUUUUAACCAUAGCUUCCCGACAACUUAAAAAAUAUAUUCCCAAAAGAUCUCCUCAAAAAGAUUAUCCAAACAAAGGAAAUUAGAAAUCUUGUGAAGAACAUUGCUUUUUUAACCCUAGAACUUGAACCGCCCCGAUCUAUGAACUCGUGAGGAGUUAGAGAAAUUUCUUUGGUAGAAAGACUUCACUCACAUCCUAGUUCAUUUCCAAAAGAUCAGUUUGAGUCAAGGCUCCCCAGAAAUCACGAAUCAAACAAAAAUGUAAGAAGGGAAAAAUGGGAGAAAACAAGAACGCAAAGAACACAAGCGAGGGUAUCACAAAACCGUCAUCCCCCAACACUCGGAGGACACGAGGAGGUUAGGGCAUCCAUUCCCACAAAAAAACUCGGUUCAAUACAUGAAUUCAGUGCUCAAAACAUCCAAGGACCUCUAGGGAGAGAGUAGAGAGAGAGAGGAAAAACCAAAUGAAACCCUAGAGAGAGAGGUAGUGGUAGAGAGGUGGAAGAGGUGGUGAAAGAGGUGCUGAACACAACUAGCCCCCCUCUCUAUUUAGAUACUCCACUAAUGACUAGAUUACCCCUACAACUUAAAACUAAGAUAACUUCCCACACAGGGGUAUUUUGGUCCAAGAUUGUCUUCGGUCAAUCGGACGGCCACGCUUCCUACACAGACUUGCUUUGCCUUGAUGCAACCUCUGUGAUUCCACUACGUGCCUUUGUGUUCCUCCUCGGAACUUCCACCUGGGUUUUGCAGCCCAAACCCGGAAACCAUCCGCCUGUGGUUUUGCGGCCCAAACCACCCAACCUGCUCCUUGACACGUGUCACCACCGUCCUUGACCACCCAGCUGCCAAGUCUUCUAGCGCCUCCGCUCGACUUCCACAUCCGCCGUCUUGACUUGGUCAACACAGUCACUCCUCCAUGUACACUUGGGCUUGUCAAUGUCCCCAGGUGUCAACCACCACGGCUGAUCCUUCAGCACUCCGGUCCCUCAGUCCAAG